AGUGAACGCUGGCGGUAGGCCUAACACAUGCAAGUCGAACGGCAGCACAGUAAGAGCUUGCUCUUACGGGUGGCGAGUGGCGGACGGGUGAGGAAUACAUCGGAAUCUACUUUUUCGUGGGGGAUAACGUAGGGAAACUUACGCUAAUACCGCAUACGACCUACGGGUGAAAGCAGGGGAUCUUCGGACCUUGCGCGAUUGAAUGAGCCGAUGUCGGAUUAGCUAGUUGGCGGGGUAAAGGACCACCAAGGCGACGAUCCGUAGCUGGUCUGAGAGGAUGAUCAGCCACACUGGAACUGAGACACGGUCCAGACUCCUACGGGAGGCAGCAGUGGGGAAUAUUGGACAAUGGGCGCAAGCCUGAUCCAGCCAUACCACGUGAGUGAAGAAGGCCUUCGGGUUGUAAAGCCCUUUUGUUGGGAAAGAAAAGCAGCAGGUUAAUACCCCGCUGUUCUGACGGUACCCAAAGAAUAAGCACCGGCUAACUUCGUG
rnacentral:rRNA from 1 species